UUUUUUAAUUAUUAUGUUUUCUCUCUCUCUCCCGUAUAUGUUGUUGCUUAGCCUUUGUUUGUUUUAAUUUUUGGUUAGACUCUGCUUUUGGUACCUCUAGCUUCCACGUGUUGAUCAUCGUGGGGGGUUCUGUUCAGAGGCUGGUUGUUUUAUUUUUUGGCUGGAAGCAUCUUCCACUUUCCACUUUUCACUUUCCUCUUCUCUUCUGUCUUUUUCCUUUUCUUUUGCUCUCUCUGUAUCUCUCCGCCUGUCUUUCCGUUUAGAUUUCGAUCCGAUCGUCUAAAAAGGUAGUUCGUCUGUUUUUUUCUUCUCUUUUCCAGAAACCAAUCGCACCGUUUUAGGGAACAUUAGUCUUUGAAUUUUAGGGUUUUAUUGUACGAGCUUGCAAGCCAUUUUUGGGUGAGGAAACGUUGCAAGCCCUUUCUGAUUAAGGAAGCAGUGGCUACCUUUUUUUGCGCUUUCGUAUGUACGGUUCCAGGUGCCUCAGGUAUAUACAUUAUGCAACUGUUAAUAUCCAUAACCAAUGCAGGUUUUUAAGCACUCACACAGGUUUGUAUUUCAGUGAAAAAAAUCUAGGAAAAACAAAAGGAGGUUGAACCCAUCUACAUAGUGAAUCGAAAGAAAAAUUAAACUCAAGAGCUAGAGAAUGAAAACUGGUCUGAUGAAAAAAAAGAAAUGAACACAUAUAAGUGGCUUGAAUGGAAGAUGCAAUUCCAACACCUAUCAAUCAGUUACAACCGUAUAAAAAGGCAGUAAAAAUUCAAGUCCUGUGUACAAUGUGGAGAGCGAGAAUUCCAGAAACGAUUGAUAAAUAUAUAGGCCUGCGCUGUAUACUGGUUGAUGAAAAGGAUCAGUGUCGUUGUACACCUUUCCACAACUGUUUGUUCUGUCUUUCUCCCUCCGUGUAAUUUUAGUCAAAUUGAACUACUUUUUUUUUUAACUUGAGAUUUAACUGAAGUGCUAAGAACUUAGUUAAAUGAAAGUUUACUUUGGUUUGAUGACAUUUAGGUGUUCAAUGUUGAGUGCAUGAUUAUUAGGUCUACAA